AAUGAAAAUUUGAUGAUAAUGAUGAGCAACAUCACCCUGGCUGCAGGGCCUCCUGGAAGCCAAGGAGAUCCUGGUCCACCAGGUGCCAAAGGAGAGAAAGGCAGCCAAGGUGAAAAAGGACAGCCAGGAGAGCCUGG